GAUAAAUCUAAAGUUGAUCACAAUGGCCGACCAAGCAGAUUGGCGAACUCAAAAUUUCCGUCAGAAACUCGUAGCUCAAAUCGAUGAAGCAAUUCGGCAGUCAGCUACGCCAAUGGUGCGAUCAAGUAUGGACAUGGAAAACCAUGUUUUUCAAAAAGCUAAGACACGAGAAGAAUACCUAGCCUUGGUUGCUAGACUGAUUCUGCAUGUGAAGGAUUUCAAUGCAACCAAGAAGAACCAACAGGCAGGCGUGCCCGGCCCUGUGAUGGCAGCCCAUGGUAUGGGGGGCGGGGCAGGAGUCCCGGGACAGCAGGACCCCAUCAAUGCCCUACAGACUCUCACCAGGCAGGGGGUGGGGCAACAAGGUAUGAUGGCGACACACCAAAUGACGCCACAGCAAAGACAACAGCUUGUUGCGCAGCAACAGGCACAGCAUUUAAUGCAGCAACAGCGAGCCCAGCAGCAACACCAACAGCAGCAGCAGCAGCAACAACAGCAGCAGCAGCAGCAGCAGCAGCAGCAGCAACCACAGCAACAGAAGCCCCAAUUGCAGAGACAAGAUGCAUUCAUUGUCACCUCUCCCCAGAAUGUGCAGCCUGUUCAGAGUCAACCACUCCCCGCCUCCUGUCAGAAUAUCCCGUUCCAACCCACAUCUGGGGUAGCUCCUCGUCCUGUUGGCCCCAGCGGGAUCUCAGGCCAACAGCAACAGUUCCAGCAGUCGUCUGGACCACAGUCAGUUGGCUCUAUGGCCCCUGCCCACUCCCCUGCUCAGAUGAGUUCUCCAGUCACCAUGUUGACGGCACCAUCCCCUCAGCCGCAGGUAACACCAUCUCCCGCGGCCAAGGGGAACACUGGCACGCCAUCCCCCAGCGCAGCCCUCAACACUCCAGGUAAUCCCGGCUCUGUGGGCCCCGCCCCGAGUCCUGGCCAGCCCCGGAACACCACGGAGGAGCAGGCCUACCUGGACAAACUGAACAAGCUGUCCAAGUACAUCGACCCACUCCGCCGCAUGGUCAACAGGCUGGAGAAAGAUGGAGAUCGGAAGAAAGAUUACCAUAAAAUGAAGAGUUUACUGGACAUUCUGACUGACUCCACCAAGAGGGUGCCAGUUGCGAUGUUGCAACGAUGUGAGCAGGUGCUCCAGAACUGGGACAUACAGACUAAAGGGAGUUCGAGCACGGCAGUUUCUAGCGUCCAUAGCUCCUGGUGUCAGCACCUGACGGACGCUCUGUCCACCCAUAUCAAGUCCUCCACCAUCAACCACAGCCUCUUCCGCUCCUUCGGCCCCGCAAUCAACACCCUCUGUGGAGCCCCCAUCAGAGGUCCUAGUCCACCCAAGAAGAAGAAGACUACUCCCCACCACACAAAGAGGGAAGGUCUCCCGGACCUGCUGCAGGGCGAGAUCGCUCGGCUCCACAACCGCUUCCGUGUCAGCCUUGACCCCCUGCACCAUGCCGACUCCAAGUCCAUACACCUGGUCUGCCGCCUUGAUGACAAGUCCCUGCCAAGUGUGCCCCCGAUCUCCGUGAUGAUCCCUGGAAACUACCCCAUGUCCAGCCCACAAUGCAACACCAGCUCCGAGGGCUAUGACGUGAGCUCCUUCUCCCAGGAUGUGCAGAAGAACCUCAACGACUCUGUCCUGAAGAUGCCCAACAAGUUCUCCUUCACGUCCCUGCUGGACACAUGGGAGAUGUGUGUGCGGAGAGCCUGUGCCUCCAUCAAUGUAGCAGGGGGCUGCUAAGGGUCACAACAGAAGGUGGGCGUGGUCAGGAACAGGAACAUGGAGAUCGUUGUGUUGCAGCCCUGUACCCACUCAAGGUCCUCAUUCCACCUUGGCCCAUGAUGUUUUAGCACUCCUUGUCCAUAUAUGGGUAUGAUGCUCCAGCAGUCUUUGUCCAUAUAUGGGUAUGAUGCUCCAGCAGUCUUUGUCCAUAUAUGGGUAUGAUGCUCCAGCAGUCUUUGUCCAUAUAUGGGUAUGAUACUCCAGCAGUCAUUUGCCAUAUAUGGGUAUUAUGCUCCAGCAGUCAUUGUCCAUAUAUGGGUAUGAUGCUCCAGCAGUCUUUGUCCAUAUAUGGGUAUGAUGCUCCAGCAGUCUUUGUCCAUAUAUGGGUAUGAUGCUCCAGCAGUCUUUGUCCAUAUAUGGGUAUGAUGCUCCAACAGUCAUUUGCCAUAUAUGGUUCCAAUGUUAUAUAUUUAUUUGAUGUUGAAGAGGUGAUCGGACGUCAGUUGGAUCAAGAGGACAAGAUCUGUUGCUGAAAGUGCAAUGUACAGACAAACUUUCAUUUCAAUCAAUACCAGACUGCUUAUUGAGAAUUGUUUUUGUAAGCCUCUGUCUAACAUUAUGUAUUGUUAUGAUUAUUAACCAUGUGUAAUGAAAAGGUAAAAGUGGUGAGAACUUGGGAGGAAUGUGUUGAGACAUAUACUGUGUCAUAAGGUGAUGAAUCAGAAUAUGUUCAGUACAAGAUAGUUUUCCAUCUGUUUCAUUCUUUUACUUCAUGUAAGAAUUUAGAAGGUUGAUUCACCUGAAGUAUACUUUCUGAUGUACAGGGGUACAUGCAGUAAAGAGAACUCAGUGUACUGGUCUCUCCAAGGUUCCUGGGGAGGCUAGGCCCAAGCACCUGCUGGUGUACUGGUCUCUCCAAGGUUCCCGGGGAGGCUAGGCCCAAGCACCUGCUGGUGUACUGGUCUCUCCAAGGUUCCUGGGGAGGCCAGGCCCCAGCACCUGCUGGUGUACUGGUC
rnacentral:misc_RNA from 1 species